rnacentral:rRNA from 1 species
GACAGAGGGUGCAAACGUUGUUCGGAAUUACUGGCGUAAAGCGCGUGUAGGCGGCUAAGUAAGUCGGGGGUGAAAUCCUGAGGCUCAACCUCAGAACUGCCUUCGAUACUGGCAAUCUCGAGUCCGGAAGAGGUUGGUGGAACAGCUAGUGUAGAGGUGAAAUUCGUAGAUAUUAGCUAGAACACCAGUGGCGAAGGCGGCCAACUGGUCCGGUACUGACGCUGAGGUGCGAAAGCGUGGGAGCAAACAGG